rnacentral:lncRNA from 1 species
GUCUUGGUGUAAUCGUCGCUGGAGGGAAGGUCCUGGCUCUCAUCCGAAAUAUUUCUCAUUUGUUUUUAUCAGGUCUUCACUGUGCUCCAGCUGCAGUAUCAGUGGAAUUGUGUGAUGUGGAUAUGAUGGAAGGAAAGGCAUUCAACACCAACAUCUUUCCGGAUGCCUGGCAGCACCAGUUACCACUGCAGUGGCUGGGCCUGGGUCCAGAGCUCCCAUUAUUCCUGUUUUGUAGAGGUGGGCCCAGAAAAAUGACAGAAGACACCCAAGCUCCAGCAGCAGAUUUGGUGAAUAUCCUUCAGCCUUCCCAGUUCUGCUUGCAGGUUUCAGUUUCACUCCGAGCUGUGAUUCAUUUCUGUCCCCUUUGUCUCCGUGUCUCUCCUUCCUAGUGACCCAGCCUCCUUUUGGCCUUCAGUGGGGUGAAGAGAAGUGUGAGUUGUGCCUGGUGUCUUCCAUCAGCCCUGAGCCGCCCAGGGCCGAGCUGGGGGACAGAUAGCAGCACACAGAGCUUCAUUUUCCUCAGCUCUUCAGCCACGUCAAACACUUCUUACAAUAAUAGACUCCAAUGUGCGGUUGAUGUCCAGGACAGACAGAGGUCUUGGCAGAAGCUGGGAUUGCUUUCCCAUUUCACUGAGUUUAUAAAAAUGACAUUUUUGAACUUUAAAUCUUAGCAUUCAUGACCCUUAGUAUUUUCCCUCUUUUUGUCACUCGCUUCUUUGAAGAUCAAGUCACCUAUUCCUCCAGCUUAAGACAAUGUUUCAGGUGAUAAGAAAAGACAAAACAUCAGAGACCCCAGAGGUGCCAAUUGUCUACUCCUUUCAUGCUAACAACUUGCAUUUCUACUCAUUGGUUACAGAAAAGUAACUACCUCUUUCUCUCAGCGUGCUGUGGGGGGCUUUGUCUGUGCCAAAGUAGCUAGAUCAGACUUUUUAAUGAGCAAGACUCAAAAAAAGUAAAUUGACUUUUUACAGGGAAACAGGCCAUUCCUCAAAAACUGUUAAAGAUUCUGUCAUCCAGAAUAUCCCUAUCCUGUUGACCUUAUUUACAGAUUUCAUGAAAAAUACAUCAUCGUAACAUUGAUAUAUGGACCCUGUAGCAUCCAAUUUCUU